UGAGUGACAAGUGGUCAUGUUUCUAAAUAAAACCUACAUUCAUUAACAUGUGGCAGGCUUGAUCCCUGGAAUGUAGGCCACGAGUGUAAGAAGGCAAAAGGCUCAGUGUAAUCUGCAAGGAGGCGGAGGCUCCAGGUCUAAAGAAAGAAGGGUCUCAAAAAUAAGGCCGGCUGCAGACACUCUGCCAUUCUGGAAGGACCUUCGACUUUCCUCGCAGGCUGUCUGUUAAGUUGGAAAGGACACUUGACAAGCCUCAUGACCCAAAUGCAAACAAGCAAAACCUCCACAAGUACAGCACACUGGAGCAGCAAAAAGGAGCAACUUCUUUUUUGAAGAGGUUGAUUUGCCAGCUAAGUGGUGCUUGGUGCAACAAACCAUUCCUGACCCUGGCCUGGCUUUUUGGAAGGGAUCACCAUCAGUCAAGGGAAAUGCUACGGACUCUGGCAGAAAGCCUGCUGAGCAGAUAAGAAGAAUCUGAUCUCAUCUGGAGAAAAGGAAGAGCGUAAAGAAGAUUUAAGGUCUGGCCUGGCCAGAGGGAGGAGAGAGAGCAGGAAGAUGCAACAGAAAAAGGAAGGCCCUGACAUGAGCAGCCCCGUGUAUCCUCACUUUGCAGCCGUAUUUGGUUAGAAGCCAUUUUCUUUUUCAGCUUCACUUCCCCCAGGAGGGGCGGUCUGUGAACUACGGCUGCCACCUGUUUGGGUAAUAAAAUGUUCCCGGGACCCAUCACACUUCUUCACAUACUGUCUCAGGCUGCUUUUGUGAUGCAAGGGCAGAGAGCUUUGUCAGGGACUGUCAGCCCACAAAGCCUAGGAUGUUUACUAUACGGCCCUAAGCAGAAGGCUUGCCAACGUCUGCCCUGCAGCAACAUGCAGGACAAGUGCUUCAUACACAGGAGGCAUUCGACAGUUUAAAAAAAAUUAUAUUUGCUUUUACUUCUAUAUAAUGUUUAAGGGAAUAAUAAUAAAACACAGAUUUUUAAAAAACUAGCCACCAAGGACCACACCCUGUAUGAUUCUAUGUGUAUGAACUGUCCAGAACAGGUACUCUAAACAGGUAGGAAAUGGAUUAGUAGUUGCCUGGGACUGGCGGAAGGAAGGACAGGGGGGAAAAAAGGUGACUGAAGUUUUUAUUUGGGGUUGAUGAAAAUGUUUUAAAAUUGAUUAUGGGGAUGGAUGCACAGCUUUGUAAAUACACUAAAAAUCACUGAAUUGUGUACUUUUGACAGAUGAAUUGUACAGUAUGUGAAUUAUAUCCCAAUAAAGCUGUUAUUAAA